rnacentral:rRNA from 1 species
UGGGGAAUAUUGCGCAAUGGGCGAAAGCCUGACGCAGCGACGCCGCGUGAAGGAAGAAGUAUCUCGGUAUGUAAACUUCUAUCAGCAGGGAAGAUAAUGACGGUACCUGACUAAGAAGCCCCGGCUAACUACGUGCCAGCAGCCGCGGUAAUACGUAGGGGGCAAGCGUUAUCCGGAUUUACUGGGUGUAAAGGGAGCGUAGACGGAGAGGCAAGUCUGGAGUGAAAGCCCGGGGCUCAACCCCGGGACUGCUUUGGAAACUGUGGAUCUAGAGUGCCGGAGAGGUAAGCGGAAUUCCUAGUGUAGCGGUGAAAUGCGUAGAUAUUAGGAGGAACACCAGUGGCGAAGGCGGCUUACUGGACGGUAACUGACGUUGAGGCUCGAAAGCGUGGGGAGCAAACAGGAUUAGAUACC